AACUGAUAAUGAUACUAUACAGGUCGGAGCAUUGAGAGAAGUUUCUAAUAAGGCCCACAAUGCAGAUCUGAAGUUGUUUUUGGAAAUAGAAUUUGGACAGGAUCUACAUCUAAUUCCACCACCUGACAAAAGUAAAGAAGAUAUUCUUCUGUUCUUUAAGCUUUAUGAUCCCUAUAAAGAAGAGCUCCGGUAUGUUGGUAGGCUUUUUGUCAAAGGCUCUAGCAAGCCAAUUGAGAUCCUGACAAAACUAAAUGAAUUGGCUGGAUUUGCUUCUGAUGAAGAGAUUGAACUUUUCGAGGAAAUAAAAUUUGAGCCUUCUGUCAUGUGUGAACGCCUUGACAAACGAGCUUCAUUUUGGUUUAAC